AUCACUUGGGUAUUUUGCUUAAAUACAGAUUCUGAUUCAGCAGGUCUGGGACCUGAGAUUCUGCAUUUCUAACAUGUUUGCAGGUGAUGC
rnacentral:pre_miRNA from 1 species